UAAGUAAGCUUUGAUCCAGAGAUUUCCGAAUGGGGAAACCCAGCAUGAGUUAUGUCAUGUUAUCGAUAUGUGAAUACAUAGCAUAUCAGAAGGCACACCCGGAGAACUGAAACAUCUUAGUACCCGGAGGAAGAGAAAGAAAAUUCGAUUCCCUUAGUAGCGGCGAGCGAAACGGGAAGAGCCCAAACCAACAAGCUUGCUUGUUGGGGUUGUAGGACACUCUAUACGGAGUUACAAAGGACGACAUUAGACGAAUCAUCUGGAAAGAUGAAUCAAAGAAGGUAAUAAUCCUGUAGUCGAAAAUGUUGUCUCUCUUGAGUGGAUCCUGAGUACGACGGAGCACGUGAAAUUCCGUCGGAAUCUGGGAGGACCAUCUCCUAAGGCUAAAUACUCUCUAGUGACCGAUAGUGAACCAGUACCGUGAGGGAAAGGUGAAAAGCACCCCGGAAGGGGAGUGAAAUAGAACCUGAAACCGUGUGCUUACAAGUAGUCAGAGCCCGUUAAUGGGUGAUGGCGUGCCUUUUGUAGAAUGAACCGGCGAGUUACGAUUUGAUGCAAGGUUAAGCAGUAAAUGUGGAGCCGUAGCGAAAGCGAGUCUGAAUAGGGCGUUUAGUAUUUGGUCGUAGACCCGAAACCAGGUGAUCUACCCUUGGUCAGGUUGAAGUUCAGGUAACACUGAAUGGAGGACCGAACCGACUUACGUUGAAAAGUGAGCGGAUGAACUGAGGGUAGCGGAGAAAUUCCAAUCGAACCUGGAGAUAGCUGGUUCUCUCCGAAAUAGCUUUAGGGCUAGCCUCAAGUGAUGAUUAUUGGAGGUAGAGCACUGUUUGGACGAGGGGCCCCUCUCGGGUUACCGAAUUCAGACAAACUCCGAAUGCCAAUUAAUUUAACUUGGGAGUCAGAACAUGGGUGAUAAGGUCCGUGUUCGAAAGGGAAACAGCCCAGACCACCAGCUAAGGUCCCAAAAUAUAUGUUAAGUGGAAAAGGAUGUGGCGUUGCCCAGACAACUAGGAUGUUGGCUUAGAAGCAGCCAUCAUUUAAAGAGUGCGUAAUAGCUCACUAGUCGAGUGACACUGCGCCGAAAAUGUACCGGGGCUAAACAUAUUACCGAAGCUGUGGAUUGUCCUUUGGACAAUGGUAGGAGAGCGUUCUAAGGGCGUUGAAGCAUGAUCGUAAGGACAUGUGGAGCGCUUAGAAGUGAGAAUGCCGGUGUGAGUAGCGAAAGACGGGUGAGAAUCCCGUCCACCGAUUGACUAAGGUUUCCAGAGGAAGGCUCGUCCGCUCUGGGUUAGUCGGGUCCUAAGCUGAGGCCGACAGGCGUAGGCGAUGGAUAACAGGUUGAUAUUCCUGUACCACCUAUAAUCGUUUUAAUCGAUGGGGGGACGCAGUAGGAUAGGCGAAGCGUGCGAUUGGAUUGCACGUCUAAGCAGUAAGGCUGAGUAUUAGGCAAAUCCGGUACUCGUUAAGGCUGAGCUGUGAUGGGGAGAAGACAUUGUGUCUUCGAGUCGUUGAUUUCACACUGCCGAGAAAAGCCUCUAGAUAGAAAAUAGGUGCCCGUACCGCAAACCGACACAGGUAGUCAAGAUGAGAAUUCUAAGGUGAGCGAGCGAACUCUCGUUAAGGAACUCGGCAAAAUGACCCCGUAACUUCGGGAGAAGGGGUGCUCUUUAGGGUUAACGCCCAGAAGAGCCGCAGUGAAUAGGCCCAAGCGACUGUUUAUCAAAAACACAGGUCUCUGCUAAACCGUAAGGUGAUGUAUAGGGGCUGACGCCUGCCCGGUGCUGGAAGGUUAAGAGGAGUGGUUAGCUUCUGCGAAGCUACGAAUCGAAGCCCCAGUAAACGGCGGCCGUAACUAUAACGGUCCUAAGGUAGCGAAAUUCCUUGUCGGGUAAGUUCCGACCCGCACGAAAGGCGUAACGAUUUGGGCACUGUCUCAACGAGAGACUCGGUGAAAUCAUAGUACCUGUGAAGAUGCAGGUUACCCGCGACAGGACGGAAAGACCCCGUGGAGCUUUACUGUAGCCUGAUAUUGAAAUUCGGCACAGCUUGUACAGGAUAGGUAGGAGCCUUUGAAACGUGAGCGCUAGCUUACGUGGAGGCGCUGGUGGGAUACUACCCUAGCUGUGUUGGCUUUCUAACCCGCACCACUUAUCGUGGUGGGAGACAGUGUCAGGCGGGCAGUUUGACUGGGGCGGUCGCCUCCUAAAAGGUAACGGAGGCGCUCAAAGGUUCCCUCAGAAUGGUUGGAAAUCAUUCAUAGAGUGUAAAGGCAUAAGGGAGCUUGACUGCGAGACCUACAAGUCGAGCAGGGUCGAAAGACGGACUUAGUGAUCCGGUGGUUCCGCAUGGAAGGGCCAUCGCUCAACGGAUAAAAGCUACCCCGGGGAUAACAGGCUUAUCUCCCCCAAGAGUUCACAUCGACGGGGAGGUUUGGCACCUCGAUGUCGGCUCAUCGCAUCCUGGGGCUGUAGUCGGUCCCAAGGGUUGGGCUGUUCGCCCAUUAAAGCGGUACGCGAGCUGGGUUCAGAACGUCGUGAGACAGUUCGGUCCCUAUCCGUCGUGGGCGUAGGAAAUUUGAGAGGAGCUGUCCUUAGUACGAGAGGACCGGGAUGGACAUACCUCUGGUGUACCAGUUGUCGUGCCAACGGCAUAGCUGGGUAGCUAUGUGUGGACGGGAUAAGUGCUGAAAGCAUCUAAGCAUGAAGCCCCCCUCAAGAUGAGAUUUCCCAACUUCGGUUAUAAGAUCCCUCAAAGAUGAUGAGGUUAAUAGGUUCGAGGUGGAAGCAUGGUGACAUGUGGAGCUGACGAAUACUAAUCGAUCGAAGACUUAAUCAA
rnacentral:rRNA from 3 species